rnacentral:lncRNA from 1 species
UGUCCCUCACUGGCUCUGGGUCCUGGGCCUCUACCCAGGCCUGAGUCCAUGCGCUCAGAAAAGGUGUGAUUUCAUCCUUCUGGAGUACUGGUGUUCAUGUGACUGUCCUUUGAAAGAACAGGGCAAGAGUCAUCUGUUUUCUAUUAAACUUUGAUGACAUUUGAUACACACAAGACACUGAGAGAGGGGCAGAGAAACCUGGAUGUGCAGAUAAAAUAGAGACCAAAGUAGUACAUCAGGAGAGAUGUGAAGAUAUCCCAGGUAACAUUCACUGUGAUCCGUUAUGUGAGCAACAAUGUGGAGUACUGGUAUAGAGUUUCGGGAGACCUGGGUGUUAAUUCUAGCUUAGUCACACGCUACGUGUGUGAACUUGCGCAAGUUACUUGAUCCUGAAGCCUCACUUUUC